rnacentral:tRNA from 1 species
GCCCAAAUGGUGGAAUUGGUAGACACGCAGUCUUGAGGGGGCUGUGCUCUUUUGAGUGUAUGGGUUCAAAUCCCAUUUUGGGCACAA